UUAUGCACUGCGGCGGCUUACCAUGCAAGUCGAGCGGAAACGAUGAUAGCUUGCUAUCAGGCGUCGAGCGGCGGACGGGUGAGUAAUACUUAGGAAUCUACCUAGUAGUGGGGGAUAGCACGGGGAGACUCGUAUUAAUACCGCAUACGACCUACGGGAGAAAGGGGGCAGUUUACUGCUCUCGCUAUUAGAUGAGCCUAAGUCGGAUUAGCUAGAUGGUGGGGUAAAGGCCUACCAUGGCGACGAUCUGUAGCUGGUCUGAGAGGAUGAUCAGCCACACCGGGACUGAGACACGGCCCGGACUCCUACGGGAGGCAGCAGUGGGGAAUAUUGGACAAUGGGGGAAACCCUGAUCCAGCCAUGCCGCGUGUGUGAAGAAGGCCUUUUGGUUGUAAAGCACUUUAAGCAGUGAAGAAGACUCCAUGGUUAAUACCCAUGGACGAUGACAUUAGCUGCAGAAUAAGCACCGGCAGACUCUGUGCCAGCAGCCGCGGUAAU
rnacentral:rRNA from 1 species